rnacentral:tRNA from 1 species
GGGUGGGUUCCAGAGUAGCCAAAUGGGGCAGGCUGUAAACCUGCUGGCGUUUAGCCUUCGGGGGUGCAAAUCCCUCCCCACCCA